AUGAAUUCUUCUUCUUCUUCUUCUACUAGAGGAAGUGGUGACUUGUCCAGGGUGUAUCCCGUCUUCCGCCCGAUUUUAGCUGAGAUAGGCACCAACGACCCCCGCAACUCCAAAAGGGAAUAAGCGGUAGAAAAUGGAUGAAUGGAUGGAUGGAAAGGAGACACGCACGUGAAAGAAAGUGUUGUGGAAACUGAAGAGGAAGAUCUUACCAGAGAGGACGACCACUAUUCAUUUCCUGAUAAUGAGGAGGGGGGCUUUCCAACCACUGAGGAUGAAGAAGGGGAUGGAUCAUCAGGACAUAGUGCAGUGACACUUUCUUCCAAAGGUCUUGCUGCCAAGAAAAGGCGAGCCUGGACAGGGAAAGAGGACAAGAUGCCUCAGACUCUGCCCUCCUCGGGCCAGGACAACAAGAACUUGGACCAGAUCAAGGACCAGGUCUACGCUGGACUCUACUACCAUGACAACAACCUGGCGUCCGGGUCCUUGGAGGCCCUCAUUCAUCACCUGGUUCCCACUUUGGACUACUACCCUGAUAGGACGUUCAUCUUCACCUUCCUACUCAGUUCCCGCCUCUUCAUCCCGCCGCACCAGCUGCUGGCCCAGGUGUGUCAUCUGUGGGCGGAGCAACACGGAGCGGGCCACGCCCCAGCAGAGCAGAUCCUGCAGCUUCUGACGGACUGGACAGAAACCUUCCCUCAGGACUUCAGAGACCAGCGUAUGAUGUGUGCUCUGAAGGAGGUCACGCUGCACCUCUACAGCCGAGACCAGGUCUACAGGGAGGCGGUGAGUCAGUUGAGUCUCGGUCUGACCAGGAGGCUGGCGGUGCUGGACCAGUACCAGGAGGCCCUGGUCAAGAUCAACCCGCGCCUCUCCCUUGUCCAAGCCAAGCCCCGGCGGGACCUGCUGUCCAUCUGCAAGCACCCCUGCACCGUGGCCCAGCAGCUGACCCACGUAGAACUGGAGCGACUGAGCUACAUCGGCCCUGAAGAGUUUGUGCAGGCCUUUGUGUGCCAAGACCAGGACAUGGACCAGGACCAGGGUCAGAAGAAGACCAGCAACCUGGGGGCCUACGUGGACUGGUUCAACAGACUCAGCUACCUGGUGGCCACAGAGAUCUGCUUGCCGCUGAAGAAGAAGCACAGAGUCCGAGUCCUGGACUUCUUCAUCCAUGUGGCGCACGAGUGCUUCAACAUCGGCAACUUCAACUCCCUCUUGGCCAUCUUGUCCGGCAUGAACAUGAGUCCCGUGUCCCGCCUCAAGAAGACCUGGAGUAAAGUCAAGACGGCCAAGUUUGAGAUCCUGGAGCGCCAGAUGGAUGCUUCCGGAAACUUCUACAACUACAGGACAUCUCUGCGCGGCGCCACCCAGAGGUCACGGAGCGCCAGCAGCAGCAGGGAAAAGAUGGUGGUGGUGCCCUUCUUCAGCCUGCUGGUGAAAGACAUCUACUUCCUCCAGCAGGCGUGUGCCAGCCGCCUGCACAACUCACACCUCAACUUCCAGCGUUGUAUUUGGCGUCGUACGAGAGUGAGGGUCCUGACAACAACAUGGAGAAGGACAGGUGGAAAUCCAUCAGUUUCAUGCCGAGUAAGUUUAUGUAUUUAUGCCACAGUGCUAUUUUUGUUUGGUAUGUUCAUAGUUCAUUCAUGCCAAUCGAGCAAAUGUUUUUGUUUCCUGUUUAAUUUAGAAAAUGUCAAUCAUUCACAGGUUGUUAAAAAAAAAAAAAGUGGAAUUGCUCUGACGUCAUCAACAUGCUGCUUACCGCCAAUAGGGGGCGUGGUUACAAGAUCAAUCAAUCAAUCAAUGUUUACUUAUAUAGCCCUAAAUCACUAGUGUCUCAAAGGGCUGCACAAACCACAACACGAACCACUACGACAUCCUCGGUAGGCCCACAUAAGGGCAAGGAAAACUCACACCCAGUGGGACGUCGGUGACAAUGAUGACUAUGAGAACCUUAGAGAGGACGAAAGCAAUGGAUGUCGAGCGGGUAUAACAUGAUACUGUGAAAGUUCAAUCCAUAAUGGAUCCAACACAGUCGCAAGAGUCCAGUCCAAAGCGGAUCCAACACAGCAGCGACAGUCCCGUUCACAGCGGAGCCAGCAGGAAACCAUCCCAAGCGGAGGCAGAUCAGCAGCGCAGAGAUGUCCCCAGGCAAUACACAGGCGAGCAGUACAUGGCCACCCGAUCGGACCGGACCCCCUCCACAAGGGAGAGUGGGACAUAGGAGAAAAAGAAAAGAAACGGCAGAUCAACUGGUCUAAAAAGGGAGUCUAUUUAAAGGCUAGAGUAUACGAAUGAGUUUUAAGGUGAGACUUAAAUGCUUCUACUGAGGUGGUAUCUCGAACUUUUACCGGGAGGGCAUUCCAUAGUACUGGAGCCCUAACAGAAAACGCUCUAUAGCCCGCAGACUUUUUUUGGGCUUUGGGAAUCACUAAUAAGCCGGAGUCCUUUGAACGCAGAUUUCUUGCCGGGACAUAUGGUACAAUACAAUGGGCAAAAUAGGAUGGAGCUAGACCGUGUAGUAUUUUAUACGUAAGUAGUAAAACCUUAAAAUCACAUAUUAAGUGAACAGGAAGCCAGUGCAGGUGAGCCAGUACAGGUAUAUAUAUAUAGGUAUAUAUGUACAGUAUAUAAAGGUACAUACAGUAUAGGCGUAAUGUGAUCAAACUUUCUUGUUCUUGUCAAAAGUCUAGCAGCCGCAUUUUGUACCAACUGUAAUCUUUUAAUGCUAGACAUGGGGAGACCCGAAAAUAAUACGUUACAGUAGUUGAGGCGAGACGUAACAAACGCAUGGAUAAUGAUCUCAGUGUCUCAGAAUGGAGCGAAUUUUAGCGAUAUUACGGAGAUGAAAGAAGGCCGUUAUAGUAACGCUUUUAAUGUGUGACUCAAAGGAGAGAGUUGGGUCAAAGAUAAUACCCAGAUUCUUUACCGAGUCGCCUUGUUUAAUUGUUUGGUUGUCAAAUGUUAGAGUUGUAUUAUUAAAUAGAGGUCGGUGUCUAGCAGGACCGAUAAUCAGCAUUUCCGUUUUUUUGGCAUUGAGGUACAAAAAGUUAGCGGACAUCCAUUGUUUAAUUUCAUUAAGACACACCUCCAGCUGACUACAAUCCGGCGUGUUGGUCAGCUUUAGGGGCAUAUGGAGUUGGGUGUCAUCAGCAUAACAGUGAAAGCUAACACCUUAUUUGCGUAUGAUGUCACCUAGCGGCAGCAUGUAGAUGCUGAAGAGUGCAGGGCCAAGGACCGAAUCCUGGGGAACUCCACACGUUACCUUAACGUAGUCCGAGGUCACAUUGUUAUGGGAGACGCACUGCAUCCUAUCAGUAAGAUAAGAGUUAAACCAAGACAGGGCUAAGUCUGACAUACCAAUUUGUGUUUUGAUACGUUCUAAUAAAAUAUUAUGAUCGACGGUAUCGAAAGCAGCGCUAAGAUCAAGGAGCAGCAACAUAGAUGAUGAAUCAGAAUCCAUCGUUAGCAAUAGAUCAUUAGUCAUUUUUGCGAGGGCUGUCUCCGUAGAGUGAUUUGCCCUGAAACCGGAUUGAAAGGUUUCACAUAGAUUGUUAGACGCUAAGUGUUCAUUCAACUGCUCCGCAACAAUUUUUUCAAGGAUUUUUGAAAUAAAGGGAAGGUGAGACACCGGUCGGUAGUUUACCAUGAGGUCAGGAUCGAGGUUAGGUCUUUUAAGAAGAGGAUGAAUUACCGCUUUUUUAAAUGCUAGGGGAACAGUGCCCGAGGAAAGUGAUAAGUUUAUAAUAUUUAGCACUGAUGGACCUAAUAAUACAAAGAGCUCCUUGAUCAGUUUCCCAGGAAGUGGGUCAAGUAAGCAUGUUGUUUGUUUUAUUCCAUUUACACGUUGUAACAAUUCCUCUAAUGUUAUUUCCUCAAAACGAGAGAAACUAUUUUGGAGGGCAGUAUCCGCCGUAUAUACAAUCGUGUCAGUGUUAAUAGAACCCAGUUGUAGCUGGGACGCAUUGUCCUUAAUCUCCUUUCUAAUGACUUCAAUUUCUUACUAAAGAAUUGCAUAAAGUGAUCAGCUGAGUGGGUGGAGCUACUGGAAGGAGCCCCUUGUUGGGUUAGCGAUGCUACCGUACUAAACAAAAAUUUAGGAUCGUUUUUAUUACGGUGGAUGAGAUUUGAGUAAUAUUUAGCUUUAGCUAAGGUAAGCAUGCGUUUGUAAGUUAUUAAACUAUCACUCCAUGCUUGAUGGUGCCCCUCAAGUUUAGUCGUGCGCCAUUUGCAUUCCAGCUUUCUACAUAAUAAUUUCUGAACUCUAGUUUCUUCUGUAAACCACGGGGUACGCUUUUUUGGAGCCUUUUUUAACUUUAGCGGUGCUAUGUUAUCAAUGGUUUCGCGCAGGGCGUCGUUAAAGUUGUUAGUAAGGUUAUCAAUAGAGCCCACAAACUUUGGGAAUGGUGCCAUUACCGAGGGCAGUAGGUCAGCAAGAGUUGUCGUUGUGGCCGUAUUAAUGUUGCGGCUGCUAUAGCAGUUAUUAUUAUUAUUAGUUUGACGAACAUGCGUCUGAACCUCGAAUUUUAGAAGGUAAUGAUCGGACAAUACUUUAGUAUACGGGAGUAUCGUAACUUUGGUAACGGUGAUACCCCUGACAAGCACUAGGUCUAUCGUAUUACCGUUGCGAUGCGUGGGUUCAUUUAUUAUUUGUGUGAGACCACAGCUAUCAAUUAUAGUCUGGAGCGCUACGCACGGUGGGUCCGAUGGGGUAUUCAUAUGGAUAUUAAAGUCCCCCAUUAUGAUUAUAUUAUCGGCGUGCGUCACUAGAUCAGCAACAAUCUCUGAGAAUUCAUUGAUAAAGUCCGAAUAGGGCCCUGGGGGCCGGUAGAUAACAGCCAGGUGUAGAGGCAGCGGUGUGACAGCCCUCAUAGUAAGCACCUCAAACGAUUUAUAUUUAUUAUUUAUGUUAGGACUAAGGUUAAAGUGUUCGUUGUAUAUUAGUGCGACCCCCCGACCCCUUUUAAGAGGACGGGCAAUAUGCGCAUGUGUAAAGUUAGGAGGCCAUGCCUCAUUUAGCGCAAAAAAGUCAUUUGGUUUAAGCCAGGUUUCGCUGAGACCGAUGACGUUAAGAUUGUUGUCUCUGAUGAUAUCAUUAACUAACAACGUUUUGUGAGACAAUGAUCUUAUGUUUAAAAAACCUAUAUUAUAGGUAGUGGGCUGUUUUAGGGAAUUUUUGAUCAAAUUAUCCGUAGUAGCAAUAUUAAUAAUGUUGUGUUUAUUAUGCACAGUGCAUUUAGUAUAAUUACGACCAUAUCUAGGAAUUGAUACGACGGGAAUUUUCCGAUUGUUUGUUUGUUGCUUUGAUAAACUGCACGCAUCAUAGUUAGCCACCUCAGUAGAACACAUGUCCAACUCUGAAACAAUCAAAGCAGAAAAAACUUGUUCUAAUUUAACUGACUCCUUACCCAGACCAGUAGUCUCGCAUCUUCCAUUUAAAUCCGGCUUCAGGAUGGAGGGAAGUGGUGUUCUGUGGGGAUUAGCCUUCUGCUUUGUUUUUAGCCCCGCUCGGCAUCCGCGUUUCCGAUCACACCGCUGGCGUCUGCUCCGUAGACGGCCCCCGCUGGUACUAUACUCCGCUGCUUCACAGGCCGCUGGAUGUAGCCGAAGUAUUCCCGUGCUAGUUUUUGAUCACUUUAUGACUUUUAUUGAUCACUUUAUGGCAUUUAUAAGGAGAGCUUGUUUUCAUCCUUUAUCUUUUGUUUUUUAAUACUUUUAAUUUGAUAUUUUAGACUUUUAAUUUAAUCUGUUAGACUUUUAAUUGUUUUCAUCUUUUAGACUUAAUUUUGUCUUUUAGACUUUUGUUUCCAUCUUUUAGACUUUUAAUUGUUUUUAUAUUUGAUCUUUUAAUUGCUUUCAUUUUUUCUCUUUUGAUUAUUUUCAUCUUUUAAAUAGUUUGUAUCUUUUAUCAUUUAAUUGUUUUUAUUUUUAACACUUUUAAUUUAAACUUUUAGACUUUUAAUUUAAUCUUUGAGCCGUUUAAUUUUUCUAAAAUCUUUUAGACUUUUAAUUUAAUCUCUUGGACUAAUAAUUGUUUUAAUCUUUUAGACUUUUAAUUGUUUAGAGUUGUAACCUUUGAGACUUUGAAAAUGUGAGACUUUUGGAGGUUUGACCUUGAGGUUUCCGUGCCAACAAUUCUGUUCAAUGACCAUGACCUUGAAGCGAGAAGGUCAAACUUUCCCCUCAAACGUCAAAAAUCUAACGACCACACUCGGCAUGGAAAUACAUUUUAAUUUGAAGGGGAUUGUAAAUAUCUCACUGUAGUAUUAAAACUGGAUUGUUAUUAUUAUUGUAUUAUUAUUAUUAUCACAAUGCUCAAUACUUUCAUAAUCAUCAUUCAAAUUGUUAUCAUCAUUACUGUUACGGCGCACACUGCGGGAGCCUCUGGAGGCUCGGCGGUGAGCACUGCAGGACACCCCCCCGCCCCCCCACUGCAUGCGCCGCCACAGCCGGAGGCAAUCGGCAGUCAGCGCACCUGGUCUUGAUGAAGAGUGAGCACUGCAGGACAACCCCCCACCCUGCACGCGCCGCCACAGCCGGAGGCAAUCGGCAGUCAGCACACCUGGUCUUGAUGAAGAGUAGCAGCAUAAAGGCUAACUCAGCAGACUGGACUGUGCCAGAACCUAGCGCCUGUCUCAGAUCUCCCCCAGGACCCUGACUGCACUCCUCCAUCCUCCACUUUUCGGACCCGUCCCUCAGGACCUCAGGAUGUCUCUCUCCAGCCCCACAGACCUCACUUGGAUCACGGACCUCUUUUGCCCCGCCCCUUUGGAC